GAUGUUGUCAUUCUGUGUUCUCUUCUGCCCGCAUAGAGAUACGGCGGCUAAAGGCGUUAUUAAAGUUGCUCAUCCAAGCGCCCUCAUGUUUGUUCGUACCAAUUUUAAUGGACGGGAAGCCGACUGACGAACAUCCUUUUCCCGAGAAAUGGUUCGGCUACGACACAUGUUAAGAAGUCACGCCAGGGGCUGAAUUAAGGUCGACCGUUUCAGCUGCAUUGAUGUGAAGUGAUGCAGUGGACAGCUUGUGAGGGUGAUACCAUCCACAUGCACCUUAACUGUGAUGCAGAAAUACAAUAGGAUGAUCCAUCUGUCUACACUUCAAAAUCACAACUCAACCUUAAACAACCCAUAUCUGUUAUGGUAAAACAAUGUGGCGGUUUUCCAGACAGGGCUUAUACUUUUCCCAGGCUAAAAUGCAUGUUUGAGCUACUGUAAUUAAGAAAACACAUUGUACUGACACAUCUCAACAUAUCAGUGCCAUUGUUUUGUUUCAAGAUGCACACCAGUCUUGUUUUUGUAAGGUUUGUUUGUAAAAACUAAAAUGUCCUAAUAUAAGUGCCCAGUCCUGGUUUAAUCUAAACCAUUGGUGACCAAACCUGUGUCUUGAGAUCUACUGUCCUGCAGAGUUCAGCUCCAACCCCAAUCAAACACACCUGAACCUGCCAAUCAAGCAUUUCAGGGCAACCUUAAAAUUAUAGUCAGGUGUGUUUGUUAAAGCUGGGUUAGGACUAAAAUAUGCAGGAGGGUAGAUCUCCAGGAACAGGGUUGGUCACCCCUGAUCUAAACAAAGGGUUUCCAAACUGUGUCCUGCAAAGUUUAGCUCUAACCCUAAUCAAACACACCUGAAGCAGCCAAUUAAGGUCUUACUAAGCAUACUAGAAACUUACUGGCAGGUGCUCUGAUGCAAGUUAGAGCUAAACUCUGCAGGACACCGGCCCUCCAAGACUGAGUUUGGGCACCCCUGACUAAGCCCUGUCUGGGAAACUGCACCAAUGUGUUAAGCUGGCACCAUUCGACAUUACUGCUUCUGAGAAACAACCACAUAAUAAUGCAUUGGAUGCAUUAUUAUUAUAAAAUACAUUCAUGUGCACUUUACCAAUACUGUACAUACAUCAACAGCUUCCAGCUAUACACUUGGGAUCAGCUCCUGAUGCCUCUCAUAAUGCUGUGUUAUAAUUUAUUGCAGGGUGAUCUUGCUAAAAGGAUAUUUUUAUAAACCUUUACAAUGUCACCAGAUGUUACCUGUUGUGAAUAAUUAUUUUAUAAACCUUUACAAUCUCACUAGUUGUUACAUGUUGUGCAUAGUUAUUUUUAUAAACCUUUACAAUGUCACCAGAUGUUACAUGUUGUGGAUAGUUAUUUUUAUAAACCUUUACAAUGUCACCAGAUGUUACAUGUUGUGAACGGUUAUUUUUAUAAACCUUUACAAUGUCACCAGUUGUUACAUGUUGUGAAAAGUUAUUUUUAUAAACCAUUACAAUGUCACCAGA